AUCUAUCUUCGGGGCAGGGUGAAAAUCCCGACCGGCGGUGAUGAAGCAGAUUUUUUUGUUUCUUAGUCCGUGACCCGACUACGUUAUCGUAGGCGGUGGACCUGGUGAAACUCCGGGACCGACAGUGAAAGUCUGGAUGGGAGAAGAUGGCG
rnacentral:ncRNA from 1 species